rnacentral:rRNA from 1 species
AUUGAACGCUGGCGGCGUGCUUAACACAUGCAAGUCGAACGUGAAAGUCCUUCGGGGCGAGUAAAGUGGCGCACGGGUGAGUAACGCGUGGAUAAUCUACCCUUAAGAUGGGGAUAACGGCUGGAAACGGUCGCUAAUACCGAAUACGCUCCCGAUUUUAUCGUUGGGGGGAAAGAUGGCCUCUGCUUGCAAGCUAUCGCUUAAGGAUGAGUCCGCGUCCCAUUAGCUAGUUGGCGGGGUAACGGCCCACCAAGGCAACGAUGGGUAGCCGGUCUGAGAGGAUGACCGGCCACACUGGAACUGGAACACGGUCCAGACUCCUACGGGAGGCAGCAGUGGGGAAUAUUGCGCAAUGGGCGAAAGCCUGACGCAGCGACGCCGCGUGAGGGAUGAAGGUUCUCGGAUCGUAAACCUCUGUCAGGGGGGAAGAAACCCCCUCGUGUGAAUAAUGCGAGGGCUUGACGGUACCCCCAAAGGAAGCACCGGCUAACUCCGUGCCAGCAGCCGCGGUAAUACGGAGGGUGCAAGCGUUAAUCGGAAUCACUGGGCGUAAAGCGCACGUAGGCGGCUUGGUAAGUCAGGGGUGAAAUCCCACAGCCCAACUGUGGAACUGCCUUUGAUACUGCCAGGCUUGAGUACCGGAGAGGGUGGCGGAAUUCCAGGUGUAGGAGUGAAAUCCGUAGAUAUCUGGAGGAACACCGGUGGCGAAGGCGGCCACCUGGACGGUAACUGACGCUGAGGUGCGAAAGCGUGGGUAGCAAACAGGAUUAGAUACCCUGGUAGUCCACGCUGUAAACGAUGGGUGCUGGGUGCUGGGAUGUAUGUCUCGGUGCCGUAGCUAACGCGAUAAGCA